ACUCCUACGGGAGGCAGCAGUGGGGAAUAUUGCACAAUGGGCGCAAGCCUGAUGCAGCCAUGCCGCGUGUAUGAAGAAGGCCUUCGGGUUGUAAAGUACUUUCAGCGGGGAGGAAGGCGAUAAGGUUAAUAACCUUGUUGAUUGACGUUACCCGCAGAAGAAGCACCGGCUAACUCCGUGCCAGCAGCCGCGGUAAUACGGAGGGUGCAAGCGUUAAUCGGAAUUACUGGGCGUAAAGCGCACGCAGGCGGUCUGUCAAGUCGGAUGUGAAAUCCCCGGGCUCAACCUGGGAACUGCAUUCGAAACUGGCAGGCUAGAGUCUUGUAGAGGGGGGUAGAAUUCCAGGUGUAGCGGCGAAAUGCGUAGAGAUCUGGAGGAAUACCGGUGGCGAAGGCGGCCCCCUGGACAAAGACUGACGCUCAGGUGCGAAAGCGUGGGGAGCAAACAGGAUUAGAAACCCUGGUAGUCCCAUGAU
rnacentral:rRNA from 1 species